rnacentral:rRNA from 1 species
UGGGUGACCUGCCCUGCACUUCGGGAUAAGCCUGGGAAACUGGGUCUAAUACCGGAUAGGACCGCACCGUGAGGGUGUGGUGGAAAGUUUUUUCGGUGUGGGAUGGGCCCGCGGCCUAUCAGCUUGUUGGUGGGGUAAUGGCCUACCAAGGCGGCGACGGGUAGCCGGCCUGAGAGGGUGGACGGCCACAUUGGGACUGAGACACGGCCAGACUCCUACGGGAGGCAGCAGUGGGGAAUAUUGCACAAUGGGCGGAAGCCUGAUGCAGCGACGCCGCGUGGGGGAUGACGGCCUUCGGGUUGUAAACUCCUUUCACCAUCGACGAAGGGUUUCUGACGGUAGAUGGAGAAGAAGCACCGGCUAACUACGUGCCAGCAGCCGCGGUAAUACGUAGGGUGCGAGCGUUGUCCGGAAUUACUGGGCGUAAAGAGCUCGUAGGUGGUUUGUCGCGUCGUCUGUGAAAUUCCGGGGCUUAACUCCGGGCGUGCAGGCGAUACGGGCAUAACUUGAGUACUGUAGGGGAGACUGGAAUUCCUGGUGUAGCGGUGAAAUGCGCAGAUAUCAGGAGGAACACCGGUGGCGAAGGCGGGUCUCUGGGCAGUAACUGACGCUGAGGAGCGAAAGCAUGGGGAGCGAACAGGAUUAGAUACCCUGGUAGUCCAUGCCGUAAACGGUGGGCGCUAGGUGUGGGUUUCCUUCCACGGGAUCCGUGCCGUAGCUAACGCAUUAAGCGCCCCGCCUGGGGAGUACGCCGCAAGGC